CUUUUUUUGUGUGUUUUUUU
rnacentral:sRNA from 1 species